GACGAACGCUGGCGGCGUGCUUAACACAUGCAAGUCGAACGGAAAGGCCCUGCUUUUGUGGGGUGCUCGAGUGGCGAACGGGUGAGUAACACGUGAGUAACCUGCCCUUGACUUUGGGAUAACUUCAGGAAACUGGGGCUAAUACCGGAUAGGAGCUCCUGCUGCAUGGUGGGGGUUGGAAAGUUUCGGCGGUUGGGGAUGGACUCGCGGCUUAUCAGCUUGUUGGUGGGGUAGUGGCUUACCAAGGCUUUGACGGGUAGCCGGCCUGAGAGAGUGACCGGCCACAUUGGGACUGAGAUACGGCCCAGACUCCUACGGGAGGCAGCAGUGGGGAAUAUUGCACAAUGGGCGGAAGCCUGAUGCAGCAACGCCGCGUGCGGGAUGACGGCCUUCGGGUUGUAAACCGCUUUCGCCUGUGACGAAGCGUGAGUGACGGUAAUGGGUAAAGAAGCACCGGCUAACUACGUGCCAGCAGCCGCGGUGAUACGUAGGGUGCGAGCGUUGUCCGGAUUUAUUGGGCGUAAAGGGCUCGUAGGUGGUUGAUCGCGUCGGAAGUGUAAUCUUGGGGCUUAACCCUGAGCGUGCUUUCGAUACGGGUUGACUUGAGGAAGGUAGGGGAGAAUGGAAUUCCUGGUGGAGCGGUGGAAUGCGCAGAUAUCAGGAGGAACACCAGUGGCGAAGGCGGUUCUCUGGGCCUUUCCUGACGCUGAGGAGCGAAAGCGUGGGGAGCGAACAGGCUUAGAUACCCUGGUAGUCCACGCUGUAAACGGUGGGUACUAGGUGUGGGGUCCAUUCCACGGGUUCCGUGCCGUAGCUAACGCUUUAAGUACCCCGCCUGGGGAGUACGGCCGCAAGGCUAAAACUCAAAGGAAUUGACGGGGCCCCGCACAAGCGGCGGAGCAUGCGGAUUAAUUCGAUGCAACGCGUAGAACCUUACCUGGGUUUGACAUGGAUCGGGAGUGCUCAGAGAUGGGUGUGCCUCUUUUGGGGUCGGUUCACAGGUGGUGCAUGGCUGUCGUCAGCUCGUGUCGUGAGAUGUUGGGUUAAGUCCCGCAACGAGCGCAACCCUUGUUCACUGUUGCCAGCACGUUAUGGUGGGGACUCAGUGGAGACCGCCGGGGUCAACUCGGAGGAAGGUGGGGAUGACGUCAAGUCAUCAUGCCCCUUAUGUCCAGGGCUUCACGCAUGCUACAAUGGCUGGUACAGAGAGUGGCGAGCCUGUGAGGGUGAGCGAAUCUCGGAAAGCCGGUCUCAGUUCGGAUUGGGGUCUGCAACUCGACCUCAUGAAGUCGGAGUCGCUAGUAAUCGCAGAUCAGCAACGCUGCGGUGAAUACGUUCCCGGGGC
rnacentral:rRNA from 1 species